rnacentral:rRNA from 1 species
GAUGAACGCUGGCGGCGUGCCUAAUAUAUGCAAGUCGAGCGAACGGACGAGAAGCUUGCUUUUCUGAUGUUAGCGGCGGACGGGUGAGUAACACGUGGAUAACCUACCUAUAAGACUGGGAUAACUUCGGGAAACCGGAGCUAAUACCGGAUAAUAUUUUGAACCGCAUGGUUCAAAAGUGAAAGACGGUCUUGCUGUCACUUAUAGAUGGAUCCGCGCUGCAUUAGCUAGUUGGUAAGGUAACGGCUUACCAAGGCAACGAUGCAUAGCCGACCUGAGAGGGUGAUCGGCCACACUGGAACUGAGACACGGUCCAGACUCCUACGGGAGGCAGCAGUAGGGAAUCUUCCGCAAAGGGCGAAAGCCUGACGGAGCAACGCCGCGUGAGUGAUGAAGGUCUUCGGAUCGUAAAACUCUGUUAUUAGGGAAGAACAUAUGUGUAAGUAACUGUGCACAUCUUGACGGUACCUAAUCAGAAAGCCACGGCUAACUACGUG